GGGAGAGUGCGGAACUGGAACCCCGGGUAGCGGGCGAAGACGGCGAGGGCGGUGGUGUGCUCGAGGAGGCGGCGGUGGUUGAAGUCGGAGAUGAUGAAGGUGACGUGGAAGUCGAAUAAGCAGAAGAGAUGCGCGAGAUUGAGCAUGGGGCUGAGAUGGCCCAGAAGUGGAAAAGGGAAAAUCAGCACGUGCGGCGGCAGAUCUUUACCUUGUUCAGAGCUCAUCUUCUUCCAAUCUGAUCUAGGAAUUUAAAAGCUUUUGUUUUCGUUUCUGAGUCUUGCAAUUAUCAGAUGAAAUGAAUUAUUGAAUUGAGGCACAAACUCAUUCUCCCACUUUUGAUGUCCCACCACUUAUUCCAUUAUCUAUCCUUGUGAUUUGAAUUAUUGGUUUAAUGAUUGGAGAAAAAAAGUCUUAUUAACUGAGUUGUGUUUCACUAUCUUAUUCUAACACUAUUUUAAGGCAAGACACUUUCACUUCUCACAAUACACUUUUUUUUUUUUUAAGGUAAAUAAGAUAAAUAAAAGGGGUACUUAACCCAAAAGGUACAUAAGAGCAUAUUACAUGACAAGUUAGAACUUGGAAGGAAAACAACGGAUCGGAUCAACAAACCAAUCGUGAACCGAACAACAAAAGUUACUAGACAACAUCGCCUUAAUCCUUCUCCAAGAGCAAAAGAUAAUGUUAUCCACAGCCGAAUCAACGCAUCUAUUUUUAAAGAUUCUCUCAUUUCGAGCUUUCCAACUCCAACAAGCACAUUGCCAGAUCAUGUUAAACAUCGAUUUUUCCAUCUUGUUCUUGCCAUUCACAAUACACUUACAUAUUUUUAUAAAACUUAUGUCACUCACGCAAAUCGAAGCGAGUAAUAAAACAACACAAAUUAAUUCUCCUAUGAGAUUGAGUGUAUGGGUGAGACGGGUCGGGUCGAGGUUGGUUAAUAAUUUAAAAUAAUUAUUGUUGUGAUGAAAAGUAAUAUAUAUCUUGAAAAAUACAUGUCAUCAACUUUUUUAUAUAAGGUUCAUUAUUAUUUAUGAAUAAUUUGUUUUUGUUGAAUUUUGGAGACGGCUGAAAUCAUUAUUUUUUUAUAAAAAACAAGCAACAGAAACAUUUAUAUAUAGAUGCCUUAAAAGUUGAUUUCUAAUUAAGGCUUAAAUAGAAUAAAAAAACAAUUAUGUACUGAGUUGGUUCUCUAUUUUAAUGGGCCCAUUGAGGAAAUUUUCAGACAACACUACGACAGGCUUGACAAAAUAAAUUGCCAUUGUAGAUUUGUAAAAGACUAUCACCACAAAAUGCCGAUUUAAUCUAGUUCCACAUUUUUUUUUUUUUGUAAGCAGUUCUAUUUUAUUCAACAAAAAACAUUUUAAAGUUGUCAUCAAUUGAAAUCUCACAACACAAAAAGUGAGAGGAGCAUUCUUGCUCUGUUCAAGGACAAGACAAACUUGUUAAAUUGACACUCGUUUUAAUUCUGUUUGCAAUUUGUGAGGAUAUACAAACAAAAACAUCUUUAAAAAUAACAAUAACAAUAAUCACAAUACCAAUGACUUGAUAUACUGAACUAGAGCAUCCAUAUUAGUAUACGACGAACCACCUUUACUUCCAGACAUUUUCACAAGUUUAGCCAUAUUUUCUGCCCUUUCCAAAAACUCAUCUUUUCUACUGAAAAUCAAAUCCCUCACUCCCUUCUCAAUAAUCAAUCUAUCACAAGUAUCUUUUAUGUCCAAUCCAAUCUUCCAAACCUCACUCACAAGCCUACUAUUAGUAGUUUGAUCAGAGAAACAAGGCCAACAUAUCAUCGGCACGCCGGCCACAAUGCUCUCGAGAGUCGAGUUCCAUCCACUGUGAGUCAAGAAUCCUCCCACCGCAGGGUGGUUGAGCACCUUCUCCUGCGGCGCCCACUCCGCAAACAAACCCAUUUCUUUGCUACGUUCCAUUAAUUCCGCCAAAACCUGAUCAUUUCCUUCAUUGUCGGUGAUGGAAUCCGGCCUAAUCACCCACAAGAACCUCUGCGCACUGUCGAGCAAGCCGUGCCAGAACUCUAACACUUGCUCCCUCGUCACAACCGCUAUGCUCCCAAAGCUCACAUAAAUGACAGAUUUAGGCGGCUGCGCAUCCAACCAAUCGAUGCAGCUCCGGUCUUCCGCCCAUAGACUCGCCUUGAUGAUUGACACAUCUGCCUUCUUCUUCAUCAGUCUAGAUUUCACUUGCUCGUGGAUUGGACCAAUGGAGAAAAUUCUCGGCACAUGCUUCUGUAUCUCUGCAAUUACCGGUCCCUCGAGAUCUUCACAAGUGUUAAAUAUGAUCCCGUCCUUCACAAUUUGGUUCCCUAUAAAUGCUUGAAGAAAAGGGUCGUUUACAUUGUCGGCACGGUAAACACUCGGCAGGUCACGCCGUCGGAGAAAACCUUCCAUUCCUGGUACACUUCUAACUAAUUCAUCCAUCGAUUUUCCUGCAAAACCCUCACAAGGAUUAUAGUGUUACAUUUUAGUGAUCUCCAUCUUUUUAUCCCAUAUUCUAUGAAGUGUAAAAUAUAAAAUAAUUGCUAAUAAUAAUAAUAAUAACACAUAUUCACAUUUUAGUAUAUUUUCACCAUAUACAAAAAAAACAUGCUUGACACCGACGGAAUUUACAGCGGAAUAUUUAAUUUUACGACGGAAUUUUUUGAUUUUACCGACGGAAUAUAUGUGGUGUAUCUGACCUCGGAAAGGAAUUUCUUGAGCUUGAAGCAGCUGAGGAAAGCAAAAAAGAGCCCAGGAGAAGGCGGCGCUAGCACUUGGGAAGAGGAUGAGCGGAAGCUGAUGCUCUCUAGCAAAGUCGGGGGCGAAGCUCAUAGCAUCGGCAACGAAGCAAGUCACGCGUCUACGGGCGGCGCCGCCCAAGAAAUUCUCCUGGACCAUCAUUUUCUUGAAGAGCGGCGCCGUGACUUUUUCGAUGGAGAAAUGAGUCCUUGGCUCCUCCCCGGCGCGGGGGUGGUCUCGGAGCCGUCGGGGAGAGCCCGGAACUCGAACCCCGGGUGCGGCGAGCGGCGACGGUGGCGUGCUCGAGGAGGCGGCGGUGGUUGAAGUCGGAGAUGAUGAAGGUGACGUGGAAGUCGGAUAAGCAGAAGAGAUGCGCGAGAUUGAGCAUGGGGUUGAGAUGGCCCUGAAGUGGAUAAGGGAAAAUCAGUACGUGCGGUGGGAGAUCUUUUCCUGGUUCUGAGCUCAUCUUCUUCUAACUCAAAUCUUGCUAAAUCUCUUGAGAGAGAGAGAGAGAGAGAGAGAGUUGCACAUUUAUUUCACCAUAUAAGGUGUAUAAACACAACCACCGACACACGCGUAUCGGC
rnacentral:lncRNA from 1 species